UACGAAGGGGGCUAGCGUUGUUCGGAAUUACUGGGCGUAAAGGGCGCGUAGGCGGCCUUCUAAGUCGGACGUGAAAGCCCCAGGCUUAACCUGGGAACUGCGUCCGAUACUGGGAGGCUUGGAUUCGGGAGAGGGAUGUGGAAUUCCAGGUGUAGCGGUGAAAUGCGUAGAUAUCUGGAGGAACACCGGUGGCGAAGGCGGCAUCCUGGACCGAGAUCGACGCUGAGGCGCGAAAGCUAGGGGAGCAAACGGG
rnacentral:rRNA from 1 species